rnacentral:lncRNA from 1 species
ACUGAUCCAGUUUGGGGGAAAGUUCUGGAGCUCCCAGCUGCAGAGCCUGGAGUUAACUCUUGGCUGGCCCCAGCCCUCCAGUCCCGGUCCCUGCUGCUCUCUCCCCCGCCUGCACUCUCAGGGAACCAGACAGAGCUGCAGCAGGGGCCCUGUGUGCAAGCUUCAGGAUUCUUAACCCUUAGGAGCCCUGCAGACCCGGGAGGUAAAAAGGGGAAGAAGGAGGGAUUGAGGGAGGGGGUGUGCUGUGAGAGAGGUGGCUGGGCUGGAGAGGAUUCAGAACGGAAAGUGCAGAGGGAGGGGAAGCAGGGACAGGGACAUGGGGAGAGAAAAUUAGGGGAAAAGAGAAUGGGAGAGAACAGGGCAAAGCUCAUGCCAGCUUGGCUCUGCUGGGCCCUGGGAGGGCUGGCACAGGGGUUGUCCAGCAUAGACUCACCCAGGGGUGCAGCUGGGCACCAAAGUGAGGCCCCCUGCCUUUCUUUUCUUGUCUACUUCAGGGGGUUCUCGAAAUGCAGAUUCCUGGGCACAACCACUGGAUUGGCAGCCUGGAGGUGGGCCCAGGAUGUGCAUUUUAAUAAGCACCCCAAGGAGAUUGCGAUGCGUGGUCAAGGUUAAGAACCACUGCUCUGGGAGGUCUACGAUGGGAAUUUAGGGCUGGUGUGUGAAACUGUGUACCCAUGCAUUUAUCUAGACAGUCCACAGCUUUGGUCAAAUUCUCAAAUUGGGUCAACAGCCCCAGACACCUUAAAAUAAAAUAAAAUAAAAAACUAAGGCGGUGAGUGGG